UACUUCAGCAGCUCAUAACUACUGAAAGGAUUAAGAUUUUUUAAAUAGAAGUAAUUCACUUUCUGGAGCCAGUUGAUAUAUAUAAUUUUUUUUCCUGAAUAACCCCUUUAACAGUGUAUUCUAAAUUUUCAUGUUACAGGUUGACAUUUGAAAAUCUUUUUUAUGUUUUAGAUGUGACUUGUUCCAUUACUCUAACCUGAAAAUGACGUGACAAAAUAAAAAUGAACCUUCUCACAGUGAAAUAUGCAUUACUUCCUGCAGACUAACCACCAUUGAAGCUCAUGUAUCAUGUCUGCAGAAAUAAAUAGGUAUGUGUAUUUUACAGUGCACUUCAACAUUUGUCAUAUUAUUUAAGAUCCUUGUAAAAUGAUUUUCGCUGCAUGUUGUUUAUUUAAUCAGUACUUAAUAUGCUUACUACACAUACACACAUAUAUAUAGGUGUGUGUACCUGGUUGCGUGUGGCCAAUAUGUGGCAAUCAAUGUCCACAAGAUCUUUCCAGCACAAUCAUGCAGCCACAAUUUGGUUGUAUGCAGCCAGGCACUUGUGUGGCCUUAAAGGGGUACGACAGCCGCCAGGCCCCCUUCAUUCAUGCCUAUGGGAGAUGGGGUGAUGGCUAUGCACUAGCUUCUGUGUUUUGGAUGCCGCUGCUGCCGGCCUGGAAAUCACAGGGGUCCGAAGCAGCUGGACCCCCCCCCCCCCCCCUUGAUCAGACAGCUUAUCCCCUUUCCAUUGGAUAGGGGAUAAGAUCUUUUCUGGUGGAGUACCCCUUUAACCUUAGGAAGAAAGUGAACAGUCAGUUAUUGAAGUUAAUAAAGCAAAUGAUAAGGUUAGAUGAUUGGGUCAGAGCAUCUCCAAAAUGUCAGGCCUUGUGUGUCUCCAGUGUACAGUGGUUGGAACCAAAAGAGGUCUGCAUAUUACAGAACACAUGUUUGAAAUGUAUACAUAUAUAUAUAUAUAUAUAUAUAUAUAUAUAUAUAUAUAUAUAUAUAUAUCAAAUCAGAAUCUAAGUAUUGGUCCUAGAGUAAAGGAGAUCAGAUAAAAUUAUUGUAGAUUUAAAUAUGGAUCAAAAGAUUAAAUAAAAUAAAAAGUGUAUUUACUAUAUCACGCAGCCACUUGAAAUCAGAUGGGGUCACAUAUUUAAAUCUGUUUCCAUGGACACAGAUUAAAAGUACAUAUGCAGGGAUAGACUUAUCUUGAAAGAAACAUUAGCUACGAGCAGAAUAUACUUAACCCCGAUGAACAAUACAGGUGAAUGAAGGCACCUGCAGACUGCUGACACAAAAACCAUUAGGAUAACAUUCCCUGUACCACUUGGUUCACAUUUAUGGAAUUUUAUUUGCAACAAUUUAUAUAUUUGUGGAAAAAAAUUGCAGUUUUGCAAGAGAAUUAAAAAAUUGCAUAUUAGUUCAUAAUGAAAAAAAAAAAAAAAAAACAAGUAACCAUGUGUCCAGUAUUCAUAAGAAAUCAAUGUAUGUCUGCACGUGACCACAAUAUAAUGACUCAAGCACACUGACAAUAUUACAUGUAAUAUGGGUCAGAGAAGUGUAAGGUACACACCAUAGUACAUAUGCCUCCUCAUGAUAUAUAGAGCAAGGUACCAAACAAGCCACUCCCACUGGGAUAUAGCAGCCAUAGUGCCCUAGACCCUUCUCAAGAUACAAAAUUGUUUUGGGUAAGCACAAAAGUAAACAAUCACAUAGAUCCAUCAUAUCACUCUCCCAUAGUGCAAAAAAAUCGGUACGAACAUACUAAGACUUCAAACUUAUGUUUUCGUGCCUACCCCCUGAGGAAGACACAAAUACGUGUGUUCCCAGCAUCAGCAUGUCAUUUUUCUGUGUAUAAUCUGCUUUUGGAGUCUCUUCAGAUGGUUAUAGUAUUGCAUUACAGUGUCCGCAAAUAUACAGCAUGAUACAUAAUGAUUGGUUGAGACGUAGAUAUAUGCUAGGUGGAACUUUUCGUGUUAACAAAUGAUGGAAGUCUAGCUCAUUGUACAAGUAGUGACUUGUGUUACCAUCUUCACCCCAGAAUUCACAUAAACAAAUUCUGAUAUUUCUUAAAUAUGUUUUGCACAAUCCAAGAGGGUCCUUACAACAUGAGCUGAUCUUAAGGAGUCCUUAACCAAUCACAGGGUGUCCUCCACCAGGCAGCAAGUGUUCUAUUGCCCUGGAGUGCCACCACAGGGGAAAUAAAGCAUCACAUGAUAUUUUUUGGACAAUCAGUUACAAUUUAUAGUGAGGCUAGGUAAUGUAUUGGAUGGAGAUCCUAAAUAAGGAACCCUCUUUGUAUUUACUUAAAGGGAUCUUUCAGCUCUAUAUCAUGCUCAGAGCUGCAGACAUGGGAUAUAUAACAAAUAUCACCUGUCUCUUAGCUGACGGCUGUUUGCAAAGUUAUAAAUUAUGUUUUCCUAAAGAGUAAUAGAGGCCUGGCUGAGCUGCAGCAUGAACACAUCCUCCAAGCUCUGCAUGAUUUAUGUACAGUGUUUGGUUUGCAGAACUGAGUCUUGUGAAUCAAUCCAAGGCCAGUGCUGCAGCUCAGCACAGCUUCUAAAACUUUUGAGCUUAGAAGGAAAACAACAUUUUAUAUUUUAUAAUUAUGUUUUCCCAAAGACUCAUAAAGACCUGGCUAAGCUGUAGCAUGCACGCCUCCUCCCAGCUCUCCAUGAUUUCUGUACAGGGUUUGGUUUCCAAAACUGAGUCUUGUAGAUCAAUCCAAGUCCAGUGCAUGCUGCAGCUCAGCACAGCUUUUGCACUUAGAAGGAACACAAUAUUUUAUAACUUUGCAAACAGCUAUCAGCUAAGAGAAAGGUAUCAUUUAUCUCCCUAUUACCUAUAUGCUCAAAUCCUCAGCUAUGAGCAUAAUAUUCAGUUGACAGAUUCCCUUUAACUGCUGGAAUGUGUAUUCUGAGGUUAUAUAUUCUGUUUUGUUUUUUUAAUAUCAGUUGCAGAAGGUUGUUUUUUUUUAUUUUUUUUUUUAUGUCCAAUUUCUUCCAACUUUCCAAUUGUUUUUGUACAUGCAAAAACAUUUUGUUGUGAAAUCCUUUUCUCUACAGUAAUUUGUGUUUCUGAUCACCUUAGUUGUUGCUUAUGUCCAUAUUUAAAGUAAAAGCAACAAGAGGCUUGGUUUGAAAGUGCCACCAGCAUUAGACCCGAAGGAGAAGACAGGCAGACAAUCCAUCUAAUCAGAGCAGCAUUCAGAAGAAACGACUAUUGAACUUAAUUCACAGCACUCAUCAGUGCUUUUCAAAGGAGGAAAAUUAUAAACCAUUUAUGCUGUUUUUUUGUUUUGUAUUGGAAAAGUGUGCAAAAA